rnacentral:lncRNA from 1 species
GCAUCCAUGGCAUGUGGAAGUUCCCGGUCCAGGGAUGGAAUCCAAGCCACAGCUUUGACCUAUGCCAGAGCUGCGGCAAUGCUGGAUCCUUUAACCCACUGGGCUGAGCUGGGGAUUGAACUGGCAAUGCCACAGAGGCAACGCCAGAUCCCCUCCCUAGCAUUCUUUUUACUACACAGCAUAAGUCACAUAACUCAUGUUACACAAAACUAACUCUUGGGACCAUCCCUCAGUAUAUUCCAAACAACUAAGUUAUUUGAGAACCUUUUUUUCCUGUGUGAUAUAAAAAAUCUGUUGCCGAUGUCCGCUUGGAGGGUGUAAUACUUACGGAAACGCUUGUAUAUUUUACUUAAUAUCAAAAUACCCAGGUUAGAAACAGUAGGUUCCUUCCUUCUGACUGGGGACAGUUGAGAAAGUUGGGACCUCCUCAAAUUCCAGCUACUUUAGCACGGAAGGCUAAACUUCAGCCAGGAGACAGCCAGCAGCUUCUUGCUCGUCAAAUGGCAAGACGCACUGAAUCAGUGUGCCAGAAAGAAUUUAGACUCCACUCCCAUCUUGAUCCUUUUCAGGCCGUCUCCCAACUCCUUACCAUCACUGACUUACUGGCAAAGUGUGCACUCCCGUGAACCAUCCCAGCCGAAUUCCUCAGUCAUUACUUCAUGGAAAGAUGUUCCACCCAAGGCAGCGGAUGGGAGCAGGCGGCCAGGACACUGAGGAUGCAGCUCCAGCCAGCUGCCUUUUCUGGGGAUCAGCACUAGUCUCCACAUGUGGUGUCCACUGCGCCCCAGGACCACCAAAUUCUCCAACCUGGAAUUUCUUCUGGGGGAGGAACAAGAUAAAGAUAGUGUUUCAGUCCCCAGACCCACAGUUCAGGAUACCACUGACUGUGCUUCCCCGUCAGAAUACUCCUGGGAAUCCUCGGGAAGUUCCCAGCCCAAAUCACGGUUUCCGGGGCUUCUUCAGGACACUGGAGUGCAAAUAUCAUCCUGCCUGGAAGAGAGUCCAACUGUGCAUCUCCCUCCUAGCUGUGUGCCAACCACAAUGCAAACGUGGUGAAUGUGUCGGAUCCAGCAAGCAGCAUCCUGGGUGUGCUGGAAAAACCUGCAGUGCAGUCCCAUCGAAUCCCAUUUUGUGAAGGAUCUUGUUAUAAUUAUACUGUUUAUGUCUCUCAGAGCUUCAACCUCUUCAUAGCUGAUGACAAUGCUGGUCCAGCAACGGAAGAGGCAUUGACCAGUCACCAUGAAUUACUACCACAAGUGUAAAAGCAAUAUGGGAAACUGUACUGGUGACCCCUGACAUUUACUGCGAUUUUACUGCGCAUCAGCACUACGUUACGUGAUUUGCAUAAAUGAUCUCAUCUGUGGUCUCAGAACCACCCCACAGGACAGGAAGCCCCCUUUGAGGAUAAAAGAAUUCAUCUAAGAGUCAGACCCCUUCCUGGCUGGUGUGUCCGUGUCUGUCAGAUGACAAGCCGUGGGGAGUCAAUAGCACCCUCACCCCACUCCAUCUGUGAUCCCGGAGAACAAGAGAAGAGGGAAGCAGAUCCCGCUCCUGUGAUUUCAAUUACAGGGAGGUGAAAAAUUAUUUGAUAUCCGAGCUUGCUAAAGGCGCCCAUUCCUUCUGCUCCAAAGAUCUUUCCCGCGAAACUGAACAAAAGAGGAGAAAGAAGUUUCGAUGCAUAUUGAGGGGAAGGGGAGUGGGGAGAAAGCCAGCACAGCAGGCAGAGAGUUGAUGACAAUGCAGACAAAAGAAAGAACUUCUUAAGAUUCUUUCUAAGAAAUGGAAUUCGCCCGGCACUGGUUCUUUUAUUAGAACCUUUCUCGCCCUCUCCCUUGCUCUGUAUCUCCCACACCAAGAAUUAGAUUUGGGGUUUUGAAGCCGCAUUGAUAGCGCAGACUUGGUUGUUACACUCCACGAUGAUAACGUCACUUGAGCCUCCUUGUCUGGGCAGCGCCAGCCAAUUUGUGGCAGCCCCUGGCUGGCACCCACCUUGGUUUUCCUGGAAAUGAAAUCCCCAGUGGGGCUUUUGGCAAAGCUCUCUGUCAUGCCUUAACGCAGAGUCAAACCCUGUAUUAACUGCAGCCCUUGCUGAGACCCCUCCCUGGGCAGGGGUGGCAGGUCCCCCAGGCCAUCAUUCACACCUGUCAGGUGUGUGAGGGAGCCCAGGUUGUCUCAGCCCUCUGAGCUACAGUUUCCUCAUCUGGCAAAUGCAGGAAAGCAAAAUUGACCAAAGAGGGGUUGUGUGAGGCUAAAAUCCGCAGAAACCACUUGGAUCACAGUAGAUGUUUGGUGCUUUGUACCCCUCGAAAUCAGCGCUUCUCUGCAUAAAGAAAGAAUCCUCCUCAAUUAGGCUUUUUGAAGUUAAAAUCUCCAAUUCUACACAAGUGCAAAUCACACGUGCCUCUGUGCCCUGCUGCUUGUUCGGCACUGUUAGCAUUUUCUCUCACCUACCUCUCCAAGCCCUGUGCAUGUUCAUUAAAAAUGUUGCAUCACUGUCUGGUGAUUAAGGAGAAUAA